AUAGUAAGAGGAAAAUCCGUCGACUUUAUAAAUCGUGAGGGUUCAAGUCCCUCUAUCCCCAAACAAAACAAAAAAGG
rnacentral:tRNA from 1 species